UCCCUGGGGGUGGCGAGGGCGGGUGUCCAGCGCCAAUCGGGCCCUUGAACCCCCACCCCGCGGCCCGUCCUUCGUAUCCUAUUGUUGCCGGACACGGCCUGACGACGGGAGUCCAGCAACCCCGCCGGCCACUGCGCUAAUGACAGGGCUGCCUCGGGCGUCUCGGCCUUGGACUCUGCGUGGCCUCGGCUCGGCCCCCACUUCCUGCAGAGGUGCAGGCUCCGCCCGCCGCAGGGGGCAGGAAGGGGGGUCGCGCGGGGACCCUCCCCCGGCUGGGAAGGGGCAGGAAAGGGGCGGGGCGCGCGAAGAAUGUGCGGAAGCGCCUGUUUACCCGGGGGCGGGGCAGACUCCGCAGCCCUGCCCCUGGUCUCCCCCCAAAGUGGACCAGGAGCUCCGCGCCCGCACCCAGUAAGGCCGCUGGAGGUCACCUGGCGGGGCGGGGUGCACGCUUUGAGCCCAGCGGAGCUGCCCGACAGGCCCGGCCGGCGCGGGUUUGGCUCCUGCGACCCGCCCGCUCCGGCUCCCUCCUACCUUCUCUUCCCUACCUUCCCUGCACACCCUUCUCCCAGCCUGAAUCCACAGCCAUGACUCGUCACUCGCCUGCUGCUAAUAUCCCCAGCACUCUGUGCUUCUUCCUACCUGGCAGAAGCCAACCCUGGACAACCUGACUCCCUGACUUCUCUGCACCUGCACACAGGCUGGCAGGAGCUGCCAGAGGCCUUGGCCCAGCAGCCGAGCUGGAACUACAGAGCAAUUCUCAACCUCGGCCGGGCUCUCAUUUCCCGCUGGAGAAAUCCUAGUCAACUCUCUCCCUUCUCAUAGGAGUGUUUCAGAUGGUUCUCCACAGGCCUCAAACAAAUGCAAGUCACUCCCACAUAAAAAAUGAAAACAACCCUGGCAACUACCCAAAUGGCCAUCAGUUGAUAACGGAAUGCUCUACAACAAAAAGAAUAAACUACAUGCAACAAUAUGGAUGAAUCUUACAGACAUGAUGUGAUGCUGAGUGAAAGAAGCAAGACCACGAGAGAGGAUAUAGGUAUGAUUCCUCUGAUGCGAAGUUCAGAAAUGGGCCAAACUCAUCUAUGGUUAUAGAAAUCAGAAUAGUAGUUACCCUUGAGAAUAGUAGUUACCCUUGAGGGCUUCCAGGGAGGUGCUGAUGUUCAAUUUCCUAAUCUGGGUUCUAUUUCCUAAUCCUAUGUAGUUGUGUUCCCUUGUGAAAAUGUAUCAAGCUGUACCACUGAAUGUGCCCGUUCUGUAUGCAUAUUAUAUUUCAAAUCAAGCUGUCUUUAAAUAAAUAACUACCCAAAGAAAUGA